GCACCAAGCCAGCCCAGCACGGCUGCAAGGGAGGCUCCUGUGGACAGGCCAGGCAGGUGGGCCUCGGGAGGUGCCUCCAGGCGGUCAGUGGGCCUAAGGCCCCAGCAAGGGCCAGGGUCCAUCCCCGGUCCCAGGACACAGCAGCGGGCCACCAUGGCUACGCCUGGGCUCCGGCAGCAUCAGCCCCCAGGACCGGGGAGGCACAGGUGGCCCCCACCACCCAGAGGAGCAGCUCCCAUCCCUGUCCGGGGGAUGACGGAUUCUCCUCCGCCAGAUCCCAGGGCUGUUUAGCCCCAUCUUAUAAAUUUGGAAAUGGAGGCCUGGAGAGGAGAGGUGACCAGCCCAGGGGCCUCUGGUGUGAGAAGACUCCCUGGGAGCCUGUGUAUUCUCUGGGAGGAGUGUUCAGCGAUGGCCCUGAC